AUCUAACUGACGAGUCCCAAAUAGGACGAAACACGUGUCCUGGAU
rfam:Schistosoma haematobium scaffold2426_2, whole genome shotgun sequence.